rnacentral:rRNA from 1 species
UACGAAGGGGGCUAGCGUUGUUCGGAAUCACUGGGCGUAAAGCGCACGUAGGCGGCCUUUCAAGUCAGGGGUGAAAUCCCGGAGCUCAACUUCGGAAUUGCCUUUGAUACUGUUGGUCUCGAGUCCGGAAGAGGUGGGUGGAAUUCCUAGUGUAGAGGUGAAAUUCGUAGAUAUUAGGAAGAACACCGGUGGCGAAGGCGGCCCACUGGUCCGGUACUGACGCUGAGGUGCGAAAGCGUGGGGAGCAAACAGG